rnacentral:tmRNA from 1 species
GGGGGCGUACUGGGUUCGACGGGGAACAGAUUCGGUUGUCGGCAGCGUGUCGAGGGCCACCCGCUCGUUAAUCGGGUGGAGGCACUUACAACUGCCAAUAACGACUACGCACUGGCUGCUUAGGUAGCCACGUCCCUCCCGAGGCUCGGCCCGUCGGUCCGGGUUGGACGUUGUUUAGAUGGGCUGGAUCACCGUGACGCCCGUAAGCGGAGAUCGAGAUUUUUUGGGCUGGCCGCGCGGAAGUUUGCCUGCUGACUAACCGCAAGGCGAGAUUUUUUCAGCCGGCUGCACACGGAGAAACCGGCGAUCGAAGUUCCUCGGACGUGGGUUCGAUUCCCACCGCCUCCACCA